CAGCCUGAAAUGAUGACACUAAAUUUCAUGUCUCUUCCCUGACAUUUUUCUCUGGAGAUAGAUUUGCCAUACUGAUCUGAUCAGGCUG
ensembl:snoRNA